rnacentral:tRNA from 1 species
CAGGAAAAAGCAUUAAGCAGAUGCGGCUCGCUUACAUUGAGCAGAUGACUUGUUUGGUUUAGUCUUUUCUGA